UAAAUAUAUAUAUAUAUAUAUAUUAUAAAUUUUUAAAAUUUUUAAAAUUUUUAAAAUUUUAUUUAGUAUAUAAUUUUUUUAAAUUUAAUGAAAGUUAAUUAAAGUAAUAUUUUAAAUUAUUAAUAAAAUUUUGUGCCAGCAAUUGCGGUUAAACAAAAAAUAAAAAUAAAUAUUAAAAAAUUUGAAUAAAUAAUUUUAAAUAAUAAUAAUAAUAAAAUUUAAAGGUGAAAUUUUAUAAUUUAUUUAUAGUAUUUAUUAGUAUAUUAUUAUGAAAUUUAAAAAUUUAAAAAAUAAACUAGGAUUAGAUACCCUAUUAUUUUAAAUAAAUAGUAAAAAAAUUUAAAAAUUUAGAAAAAAAAUUAAAAUUUAAAAAAUUUGGCAGUAUUUUAAUCAAUUUAGAGGAACUUGUAUAUUUAUAGAUAAUCCACAAUUAAUUUUACUUUAUAUAAUUUAAUUUGUAUAUCGUUGUUAUAAAAAUAUUUUUAGUAAAUUUUAAAAUAUUUUAAAAUUUAAAUAAUAAUUUAUAUCAAAUCAAGAUGCAGUUUAUUAUAAAGAUUUUUAUGAGUUACAAUUUUUAAUAAAAUUGGAUUUAAAGAUGAAAAAUUUUAAUAAAAUUGGAUUUAAAAGUAAUAUAAAUAAUUUAAUUUAUAUGAUUAUUGUUUUAAAAUAUGUACAUAUUGCCCGUCACUCUCAUUAUAUAGUAUAAAUGUAUAAUAAUAAAAAUUAUUUAUGUUAUUAAUUGAGAUAAGUCGUAACAAAGUAGAUGUAUUGGAAAAUGUAUCUAGAA
rnacentral:ncRNA from 1 species